UACGGAGGGGGGCUAGCGUUGUUCGGAAUUACUGGGCGUAAAGCGCACGUAGGCGGCUUUGUAAGUUAGAGGUGAAAGCCCAGGGCUUAACCCUGGAAUUGCCUUUAAGACUGCAUCGCUAGAAUCGUGGAGAGGUAAGUGGAAUUCCGAGUGUAGAGGUGAAAUUCGUAGAUAUUCGGAAGAACACCAGUGGCGAAGGCGACUUACUGGACACGUAUUGACGCUGAGGUGCGAAAAGCGUGGGGGAGCAAACAGG
rnacentral:rRNA from 1 species